rnacentral:rRNA from 1 species
AGACUGAACGCUGGCGGCAUGCCUAACACAUGCAAGUCGAACGGCAGCACAGCAGUAGCAAUACUGUGGGUGGCGAGUGGCGGACGGGUGAGGAAUGCAUCGGGAUCUACCCUAUCGUGGGGGACAACCAGCCGAAAGGCUGGCUAAUACCGCAUAGGCCUGAGAAGGGAAAGCGGGGGACCGAAAGGCCUCGCGCGCUGGGAUGAACCGAUGUCCGAUUAGCUAGUUGGAGGGGUAACGGCCCACCAAGGCGACGAUCGGUAGCUGGUCUGAGAGGAUGAUCAGCCACACUGGGACUGAGACACGGCCCAGACUCCUACGGGAGGCAGCAGUGGGGAAUAUUGGACAAUGGGCGCAAGCCUGAUCCAGCAAUGCCGCGUGGGUGAAGAAGGCCUUCGGGUUGUAAAGCCCUUUUGUCCGGAACGAAAAGUCCAUGGUGAAUACCCGUGGAUGCUGACGGUACCGGAAGAAUAAGCACCGGCUAACUUCGUGCCAGCAGCCGCGGUAAUACGAAGGGUGCAAGCGUUAGUCGGAAUUACUGGGCGUAAAGCGUGCGUAGGUGGUUCUUUAAGUCUGUCGUGAAAGCCCUGGGCUCAACCUGGGAAUGGCGAUGGAUACUGGGGAACUAGAGUACGGUAGAGGAUGGUGGAAUUCCCGGUGUAGCGGUGAAAUGCGUAGAGAUCGGGAGGAACAUCAGUGGCGAAGGCGGCCAUCUGGGCCAGUACUGACGCUGAGGCACGAAAGCGUGGGGAGCAAACAGGAUUAGAUACCCUGGUAGUCCACGCCCUAAACGAUGCGAACUGGAUGUCGGGGGGAACUUGCCCUUCGGUAUCGAAGCUAACGCGUUAAGUUCGCCGCCUGGGGAGUACGCUCGCAAGAGUGAAACU